rnacentral:tRNA from 1 species
UGGAGGAGUGCCCGAGUGGCUAAAGGGGGCGGACUGUAAAUCCGCUGGCUAUGCCUACGUUGGUUCGAAUCCAACCUCCUCCACCAU